rnacentral:ncRNA from 1 species
AUGUGAGGACGACCUCACCCAUUAUGGUUGCAUGCGGGACGGCCCGA